rnacentral:lncRNA from 1 species
ACCACAUCCUUUCUCCUAUUUUUUCACGAAAAAAGAAAAAAGAGAAAUUCCAUGUUCCUCUUUUGACGCGGGAAAGUGAAAAGCUUAGCUCUAAAGGCCUCUGCUGAAGCAUAAUUAAUACAGUAAAAAAUAUACAAAGAAAGAGAGGGGGAAGAGCUGUUUAGAGAGAGAAAGCUACUUAAUUAGAGAAAGAGCAGAGAAAGCUACUGGGAACUGUUUAGAGAGAGAAAGCUACUUAACAGAGAAAGGGAACUGUAUAGAGAGUGGUAGCUGCUUAAAUUGAGAGAGACAGCCCCCAGAGAGAGAGAGAGAGAGAGAGAGAGGGGAAGGGAAAGAACUACAUAGCGAGAGAAACAGGGGAGAGGAGAGAGAGGCAGAGGAUCCAUGGGAUUAAUAGCAAAGGCGAAGAACAGCAACGAAGGUUGGGGAAUGGGAUUCUUCCUAGUCUUCUUUCCCGAAGACGAACCCAUCGAAAUCAACAACAAUAAGAAAAACAAUCCUUCUCUUCAUAUUCACGUCUUCA